GGGUGCUGGACACAAAUCCCAGGACCGCACUGCCAACGAAGUGCUGCGAAGCGCAGCGCACCAAAAUUCUCGUGUGAGCCCGUCCACAUCAGACGCGCAUUUCUCCACGCCGAUCGACAAGCGCUUCUGCUCCCAGCUGUUGACUCCGUCACAUUUGGGGCUGUUUUUCCAUCAUGGUUUUCCUCUAGGUGACCCAGACAGACUGGACCAGUGGACACUCAACACGAGGAGACAGAACUGGACUCCAAACAAGACUUCCCAUCUGUGCAGUGAACACUUUGAGAGUCAUCACUUCAGCACUGACUCCAGGAUAAAGACACCUUUUUUUCAUACAGUACCUCACAAAGAGUCAAGAAACUUCUUAGUUUGAAAUGAUGAAUUAUUGUCCAUAAUACAUUUAAAUGCAUUACAUAAAUUACUAAUUGUCAUACAUUACUAAGUACUCGAUUAGGGCACAGCUUGCUCCGUACUAUUCCUGAUAAGGUGAAAUUACUGACACACCAGUGCAGUUUAGUGUUCCCCUGAUGCAAAAGGCCAAAUGAAGAUUUUAUUAAUCAAGGAACAUGACAUAUAUUUACCAAUUUUAACAUUUUAGUGCCUUUUAUGCAAAGACCCUUUAUCAAAGUGAGAACUACUACCUUUUUCCCCACACACAGUCUGUGAAGAACCAAUGGAAAAAAUAUUCUCAUAAUGAGACAGCUGAACAUAGCAUGAUUCCACAGUGGCAGUGAGCUUUGAGAACAGUUCAGUUUCCUUUUGAUAGCAACAAUUAUUUUAAUGUGGAUGAACUGCAUAUUGUACAUUCAUACUCCAGUUGUCUUGAUAGUACAGUUAAAUUUAAAAUCACAUUCAAAUAUAAAGUCGAAUAUCUACAGAACUUAAACACAAAACUAUUUUAUGAAUGACAGCCACUUACUCAGCAAUAAGAUCAUUUUGGUGGUGAGUGGGCUUUUAACCAAGACAGGCUGUAGUCAAUGUUUUCUACCUGUGUUUUUAACCUAUUAUCUUUCUCUCAUGUAGGACACUUGUGGAAAGUUACAACGCCUCGGCCAAUGUGAUAUUUACUCCACAGUAAAGAGGUUGUUUCAGAAGAAAUUAAGAUUUUGCAAAUUAUGACACUGGGUCCUAAUCCAUAGGUUUUAUAAUUACUGUUAUAAAUCUUUUCAUUUAUUCCAUGUGUACUUUUUGUAACAUUUUAAAAUGGAUGUUUUCAUGAAUGCAAGCUUUGACUUAAUUUUGUUAAACUGUUUGUGAAAUGGUUCGAAUUUUUGUGAUAUAAAGUGGAUCAGACAAAAUUUACUUUAGAGUAAAAGGAAUUUUUUUGAAAGCUGUCUUUCAUCAGUUUCCUGUAAUGAUUGGAAAUAUAGUGGUGAUUUAAACCUUUAACAAAAUAUAAUAGUUAUUAAUGGCAUCCUAAUGUUUUCAUUUAUGUCUUAACAUUUACCCAAGUUUGCAUUUAUCUUAGCAGAAUGUAAAAAAAAAAAAAAAAAAAAGAAAAGCUGAUGUUAUGUGCUGGUUUUGUUUGGACAUUUCUUUAAGACAAAUGAAGAAAAUUCACUGAGAAACUCUUCUUUUGUGAAAAACAAGGAAAUAUGUGCACACUGAAUAGUUUUAAGUCCCGUAGGAGGUAUUGUUUAUUUGUGACAUUGUGACAUAUGAGAAGGUUCUGUGGGUAUUGCUCGGUGUUGAGACUUAUAUAGUGAGGCUAAAAAAGCCAACACAUAAUUGGCUGAUUAUCUUUCUGUUUGCCUCACUAUAAAAACGUCACAGUACCUUUGCCUGAGGAAGACCCUCUCAGAGUUGGCAACACAGCGAACAAGUGAUACCUCCUUGGGGGCUUCAAAACUAUUGUGUCCAGCUAAUUCUUUGUUUUUCACUUUGAGCCCUUUUAUCCAGUCACAUUCUUCUGUGUUAAAACUGGACUUCUAACAGAGCAGCAAAUAAAGGUCACUCUCCAAAAUCU